rnacentral:rRNA from 1 species
UACGAAGGUGGCAAGCGUUGUUCGGAAUCACUGGGCUUAAAGCGCGCGUAGGCGGAAGUUCAAGUGUCCUGUGAAAUCCCCCGGCUCAACCGGGGAACUGCGGGGCAAACUGGAUUUCUUGAGGCAAGUAGGGGUACAUGGAACUCUUAGUGGAGCGGUGGAAUGCGUAGAUAUUAAGAGGAACGCCGAUGGUGAAGACAGUGUACUGGGCUUGUCCUGACGCUGAGGUGCGAAAGCGUGGGGAGCGAACGGGAUUAGAUACCCCCGUA